GUUCUUUUUUCAGCUACUCUUAUCUGCUGCAUCCAAAGGGUAAAGAUCAUGGUUUACCCACAUCGUGGGAAUCAUGGACUAAACAGUUUCAGGUACCAGUGGUAAUUCCCAUUGGAUCAAAGAGUUGGAGCCAGGAUUCUACAAGACAUGGACAGCUAAACAGUUCAGCAUGAAGGCCCUGAGAAGCUGGGAUACCUGGGACUUGAGCCUGAGAUGGGGUUUGGACUUGGAUCUGUGCUCUAUGUAGGAGCCAAGCCAAGCUGUGAACCUAAUCCCUUAAACCUCCCCAGAGAAGGAGGUGCAAAGGGGAGGGAUCAUGUCUCCCACUGGUUGGGGAAAUGAUUGUCCACUCAAUGCAGCCUCUGGGUUGAGAUGCAACAGAGAAUAGAUCCAUACUUUGCUGCUUGUACUAAUUUUGGCCUGACAAUCAACACCAAGAACACAAAGGUUCUCCACCAGCCAGCACUGAACCAUCCACAUGUGGAACCAUCGGUUAUAGCUAAUGGAGAAAUUUUGACUUCUGUGAAUAAGUUCACAUACCAAAGUGUACUUGUCAGUAUACUUUCCAGGGAUGUGCUGAUAGACGAUGAGGUCAAUGGACCCAUUGUUAUGGGCUAGCUCAGCGUGUGGGAGGCUCUGAAGGAAAGUGUGGGAGAGAAGAGGUAUUAGUCUGCCUACUAAAUUGAGAGUCUAGAAUUAUCGUUGUGCUGACCUCAUCGUUGUAUGCCCUUGAAACCUGGAUAGUCCUGCCUGGAAACUGAAUCACAUCUAUUUGAAUUGUCUUAGGAAGAUGCUGAUGAUCACUUGGCAAGAUAAAGAACAGACACUGAGGGCCUUUCUCAAGCUGAACUGACAAGCGUUCAAACUCUACUGCAGAAAACACAACUCCAAUGGGCUGGGCCAUUGUUCAAAUGCCAAAUGUAUGCCUGCCUAAAAGACCAUUUUACAGAGAGCUCAUACAGGGCAAGCACUCAUGUGGAGGUCAGAAGGAGCGAUACAAGGACACUCUCAACGUCUCCCUGAAGAACUUUGGAAUCAGUCGUGAGAUGUGGAAGACACUAGCACAGGACCAUCCAGAAUGGCGUGCCCUCAUCAAGAAGGUACUAUGCUCUAUGAGCAAAGCAGAAUUGCAGUAGCUCAAAAGAAUCACAAGAUGGGCAAAUUUAGAGACAU